rnacentral:rRNA from 1 species
GAUGAACGCUGGCGGCGUGCCUAAUACAUGCAAGUCGAGCGAACAGACGAGGAUCUUGCUCCUCUGACGUUAGCGGCGCACGGGUGUAUAACACGUGUAUAACCUACCUAUCAGACUGAGAUAAUUUCGGGAAUCCGGAGCUAAUACCGUAGAAUCUAUUGAACCGCAUGGUGCAAUAGUGAAAGACGGUUUUGCUGUCACUUCUCGAUGGAUCCGCGCUGCAUUAGCUAGUUGGUAAGGUAACGGCUUACGAAGGCAACGAGGCGUAGCCGACCGGAGAGAGUGAUCGCCCACACUGGAGGUGGACCACGGUCCAUGCGCCUACGGGAGGCAGCAGUAUCGUACCUUACGCAAUAGGCGAGAGCCUGACGGAGCAACGCCACGUGAGUGAUGACGGUGUUCGGAUCGUAAAACUCUGUUAUUAGGGAAGAACAAAUGUGUAAGUAACUAUGCACGUCUUGACGGUACCUAAUCAGAAAGCCACGGCUAACUACGUG